AGAGUUUGAUCAUGGCUCAGGUUGAACGCUAGCCGCAUGCCUAACACAUGCAAGUUGAAUGGAAUACUAUGCUUGCGCAUAACCUAUUCCAUGGCGAACGGGUGAGUAACGCGUGAGAAUCAACCUUCAGGAUGGGGAUAACCUUCGGAAACGAAGAUGAAUACCCAAUAUCCCGAGAGGGAAAAGCUCCGGCACCUGAAGACGAGCUCGCGUCUGAUUAGUUAGUUGGUGAGGUAAUGGCUUACCAAGGCAAUGAUCAGUAGCUGGUUUGAGAGGAUGAGCAGCCACACUGGUACUGAGACACGGACCAGACCGCUACGGCGGGCAGCAGUGAGGAAUAUUCCGCAAUGGGCGAAAGCCUGACGGAGCGAUGCGGCGUGAAGGAUGAAGGUCUACGGAUCGUAAACUUCUUUACCUAGAGAAGAAGAAUGACGGUAUCUAGGCAAAAAGCAUUGGCUAACUUCGUGCCAGCAGCCGCGGUAAGACGAGGAAUGCAAGCGUUAUCCAGAAUUAUUGGGCGUAAAGAGCCUGUAGGUGGCCUUCAAAGUCUUUUGUGAAAGGGUACGGCUCAACCGUACAUGUGCAAUGGAAACUCGGAGGCUUGAGUAUGAGAAGAGUAGAGGGAAUUCUUAGUGGAGCGGUGAAAUGCGUAGAUAUUAAGAGGAACACCAAAGGCGAAAGCACUCUGCUUGCUCAUUACUGACACUCAGAGGCGAAAGCUGGGGGAGUGAAAUGGAUUAGAGACCCAUGUAAUCCCAGCCGUAAAU
rnacentral:rRNA from 1 species